CUUCAACUCGUUCACCUCCUGGCAACACUAAACUCCAGAAAAUGCAGCACACUGUCUCUUUAAGAAAGACUGCUCCCUGCCCAGCUGUUGACUUGCCUGAAGCCUGCAUAAUGGCACACAGCUACAGCAAAGGAGGUGGCUGCUGGAAGCAAACAGGAAAUGAAGCAAUACCCGAGUGCUGGGGGAGGGGACCGAGAGCGGCCAAGGAAGCAAAUCCCACUGAGGAUACUCUUACAAUAUGAAAGAGACCAUUAACCCAGCGCAUUUACCUGCAGAACUUAUCAGCAAAUGUCCUACCAGAAUACUUACUUUUAAUCGUACCCUAGCAUUGCUCAUUUUUCUCCCCUUCAAAAAAGCUGUUACUUGUUACUGAAGAAAAACUACCAUCUUGCUUCCCUUCUUAAACCUCCCUAUUUAAAACUCUGCAGUGCUAAAAGGCACAAUGCUGAUCUCUUAUAGUGUCUGGAGUCUCUUCUCAAAUUAUAUCUCUCUUAUGUGAACAGCUAACUGAAGACAUCUGUUGGAUGCAAUUAUCUGAAUGCUGCACAUUUGUUUUAUAUAUAUUCUUUUCUAUAUUACUUGGGGAUAAGGUAUCUAAUUAUGUUUUUCUGGCAUUGAUAUUAUUUGUGAAGGUGGCUUUCUACUGUCAGCUGAAGUUCAGGGAGUGGUCAAAUACUGUUUGUCAAAUGUCUAGAAAAAGUUUGGUUUUGAUUAACAAUGUAGAUGUGCAUGUUUAAUUAUUUUAAUAAUUCUUCCCUGCCUCCUGUAACUAGAAGAGGUGAAAUGGACACUUAUGUACAGAUCCUUAGCUUUCAUUCACUAUAAUGCAGUUUCUUCAUUCACUAUAAUACAGUUUCAUGGCAAGUGGUGAACUCUGUUACAAGCUUAACGUCUGUAGGAUUACCUGCCAUACAGCACUCUGCCUGUGGGAGAUGGGCCAACUAAUAAAGUUGUAUUAAAGAAUAGGUGCAAAUUACCAAAACAUUUUCUUUUAGAGUCUAAAAUAUUGUUAGAAGUUCUAAAAUUUUCAUUACAUUUUGUGACAACUCACACUAUUUUAUAAAGCACUAGGGAAAACACUUCCAGCAACUGUCUGCAGAAAGCUUUUCUGUACCAACUCCAUCUUAUCUAUUUUCUAAAAAAAGGCCCUAUAGACUCUGACACAGCCAAGUUGCUGUGGCUUGCUAAAAUACCAGUGUUAGCUGAACCCUGGUAAUUGUACAAACACGUGCUUUUAGCUGAGGCAAGAACGAGAUAAAUGACAUUAACUUUUCUCUUGGGUAUAAACUAACAUGUUUCACCUCUUGGGAGGAGAUGCGACUGCAGGUCAGGCAUUGCAGCUCAGCUGGUGGGCAGUAACUUGCUAACUGAGGUUAGCCUGAAGGUGCGUCUCAGCUUGGUGUGAAGCCCUGGCCCUUCCCAACAAGGACAAUAAGUGUCCCUCCCUCAUGCCUGACCUGGUGAGCACAGAGGGAAAGCAUAUUAUUAGUGUUAUUUAAUUUGCAUUACUGUGACACUUAAGAGCUCCGGUUUGGAUUAGGACUCUGUUGUGCUAGGCACUGCAUAAACACUCAUGAAAGCAUGACACUGUCCUCAAGAGCUGCCUGCCUUAUACAAACACACAUGGGAGUUGGGUUAGGUUUCACACUGAGGUUGGGCUUUGUCUUCCUUAGUGCCUUGUGCUGUGCCAAGCAUUUUGUCAGCUCUUGCAGUCCUCUGCAUCUAGCAGCUCACACCUCAGCCUGCUCUUUGCUGAACUGAUAGCUUGGCAAGUUCCUGUGUUUGUGUAGCAUGCAGUAGGUCACCCAGUAGGAUACUCGAGGCGAAGCCGGGACAGACUACAUGAG